UACGGAGGAUGCAAGCGUUAUCCGGAAUGAUUGGGCGUAAAGGGUCCGCAGGUGGCAAUGUAAGUCUGCUGUCAAAGAAUGAGGCUUAACCUCAUCAAGGCAGUGGAAACUACAUAGCUAGAGUACGGUCGGGGUAGAAGGAAUUCCUGGUGUAGCGGUGAAAUGCGUAGAGAUCAGGAAGAACACCGAUGGCGAAAGCGUUCUGCUAGACCUGUACUGACACUGAGGGACGAAAGCUAGGGGAGCGAAUGGG
rnacentral:rRNA from 1 species